CAUGGCCCCCAAAGAUGUCCAGGUCUUAAUCCCUGGGAUGUGUGAAUAUUUACCUUACGUGGCAAAAGGGAUUUGCAGAUGUGAUCAGUUAAGGAUCUUGAGAUGGGGAGGUCAUCCUGGAUUAUCCAGGUGGGACCAUUGCAAUCACAGCAUUUUAUAAGUGGAAGCAGGAGGCAGGAGAGUGAGAGAGAAGCAGAAGUGAUGCUGGGAGCAGAAGCUGGGGUGAUGCAAUUGCUGGCUGGGGUCAUGAGUCAAGGAGUGUGGGUAGCUUCUAGAAACUGGAAAAGACAAGGAAAUGGAUUCCCCUUAAAGGCUCCAAAAGGAACACAGCUCUCCCUGAAUCUUGAUUUUAGCCCCGUGAGACCCAUGUCAGAAUUCUGACCUCCAGAAUCCUCAUUAAAAACUAAUCAAGUUCACUUGGACAAGUUGCUUCUCUGAGCCACGUAUCGUCAUCUAUAAAAUGUAGUAACACCACCUUCCUCAGAAGAAGGUUAAGAGACUUACGUGUUUUAAGACAUUGAGGAGACUUUGUGAACUGUGCCCUAUAAAUUAUUACUGUUAUUUACAAGAUUAACCCUGAGCUAACAUCUGCUGCUAAUCCUCCUUUUUUUGCUGAUGAAUACUGGCCCUGAGCUAACAUCUGUGCCCAUCUUCAUCUACUUUAUAUGUGGGAUGCCUACCACAGCAUGGCUUGACAAGUGGUGCAUAGGUCUGCACCUGGGAUCCGAACCAGUGAACCCCGGGCCAACGAAGCGGAACACGUGAACUUAACCACUGCACCACUGGGCCAGCCCCGAUUUUAUGCUUCUUAAUGAACAAGUUAAUCGUUUAUCUAAAUGCCAAAAAUGCAGUUGAAAUGAUUUUCCAUCCUUUUAUGCAUGUCUUCCCAACUCCUCCCAAGAUAUUAUGUAGAUAAAACCCCAAGAUUAAAAACAUUUUAAAUUAAUUUCAUUGUUUCUGUAUAAAUGAUAUAUGCCUAUUAUAAGAAAUAUUCAAACAACUUUAAAAAGUAUGAAUAUAAUAAAAACUACCCCAAAUCAUGUCACUCAGAGUCAAUCACAACUAUUUUAGUAAACAUCAUUCUAGAAAUGUCUUUAUUCAUGCAUAUGGGUAUAUGUGCAUGAAUACUUUUAGACUUUUAUACUUUUACUAUCCAUGUUGUUAGUAAUGUUUAGUUCAGUAUUGUAUUGCAGAUGCUUUUGCAUGCUAACAAGUAUAUAUUUUCAGAUUAUGUGUAAUGGCCACUGACUAUCAUGUUU
rnacentral:lncRNA from 1 species